CCUACGGGAGGCAGCAGUAGGGAAUCUUUCACAAUGGGCGAAAGCCUGAUGGAGCAACGCCGCGUGCAGGAUGAAGGCCUUCGGGUUGUAAACUGCUUUUAUAAGCGAGAAAUAUGAUGGUAACUUAUUAAUAAGGAUCGGCUAACUACGUGCCAGCAGCCGCGGGCAUACGUAGGAUCCGAGCAUUUUGCGGAGUGACUGGGUGUAAAGAGUUGCGUAGGUGGCAUAAUAAGUAGCUAGUGAAAUCUGGUGGCUCAACCAUUCAGACUAUUAGCUAAACUGUUAAGCUCGAGACCGUUAGGGGUAACUGGAAUUUCUAGUGUAGGAGUGAAAUCCGUAGAUAUAAGAAGGAACACCAAUAGCGUAGGCAGGUUACUGGGACGGUUCUGACACUAAGGCACGAAAGCGUAGGGAGCAAACGGGAUUAGAUACCCCGGUAGUC
rnacentral:rRNA from 1 species